GUGGUCGUAGCUUAGUUGGUCUAAAGCGUCAGUUUGUGGCACUGAAGAUCGUGGGUUCAAAUCCCACCGACCACC
rnacentral:tRNA from 1 species